UACGUAGGGUGCAAGCGUUAAUCGGAAUUACUGGGCGUAAAGCGCGCGUAGGCGGCUUUGUAAGUUAGAGGUGAAAGCCCGGGGCUCAACCCCGGAACUGCCUUUAAGACUGCAUCGCUUGAAUCCGGGAGAGGUGAGUGGAAUUCCGAGUGUAGAGGUGAAAUUCGUAGAUAUUCGGAAGAACACCAGUGGCGAAGGCGGCUCACUGGACCGGCAUUGACGCUGAGGUGCGAAAGCGUGGGGAGCAAACAGG
rnacentral:rRNA from 1 species